rnacentral:rRNA from 1 species
CCUACGGGGUGCAGCAGUGAGGAAUAUUUGUCAAUGGACGAGAGUCUGAACCAGCCAAGUAGCGUGAAGGAUGACUGCCCUAUGGGUUGUAAACUUCUUUUAUAUGGGAAUAAAAUGUUCCACGUGUGGGAUUUUGUAUGUACCAUAUGAAUAAGUAUCGGCUAAAUCCUUCCCAGAGGCGGAGGUACAACGGCGGAUCCGGCCGUUACCCGGUUUUAUUGGGUUUAAAGGGGGCGUAGGUGGUUUGUUAAUUCAGUUGUGAAAGUUUGCGGCUCAACCGUACAAUUGCAGUUGAAACUGGCAGUUUUGAGUACAGUAGAGGUUGGCGGAAUUCGUGGUGUAGCGGUGAAAUGCUUAGAUAUCACGAAGAACUCCGAUUGCGAAGGCAGCUCACUGGACUGCAACGGACACUGAGGCUCGAAAGUGUGGGUAUCAAACAGGAUUAGAUACCCUGGUAGUC